rnacentral:rRNA from 1 species
UACAGAGGUCCCAAGCGUUGUUCGGAUUCACUGGGCGUAAAGGGCGCGUAGGCGGUCGGGUAAGUCUGAUGUGAAAUCUCACAGCUUAACUGUGAAACUGCAUUGGAUACUAUCCGGCUCGAGGAAUGGAGGGGAGACUGGAAUACUUGGUGUAGCAGUGAAAUGCGUAGAUAUCAAGUGGAACACCAGUGGCGAAGGCGAGUCUCUGGACAUUUCCUGACGCUGAGGCACGAAAGCGUGGGGAGCAAAAGGG